rfam:Nestor notabilis contig78912, whole genome shotgun sequence.
CAAAUGGAUUUUUUAAAAUCCACAAGAAGGAACAGUGGGGUGGGAU